rnacentral:snoRNA from 1 species
AAAUUCAACAGGAGAAUCAUUUCUAUAGUUGUCGACCUCUUCUUGGUUUCCCAAAGAAGCCACAGAACCCACCCUGGUUGAUGAAUCGAUACCCCAGCGCCUUAGAGUGAAGAAAAAAUGGGUUUUCCAUUUUUUGUGGCUCCCGCACUGUCUGAAUAAGACGGCGGUCCUUGUCUCUAGGGACUUGGACUGUAGAGGGAGUGGUUGAUGAUCUCGUCCCCGUUUCUCGGUCGGCCUUUUGGCGCGAGGGCGGGGUGGGUGUUGGGGGAGUCUGACAGGC